rnacentral:lncRNA from 1 species
GGCGCGCAGGGGCUGCCGUUGGGGCGUGCGGCGGCUGAGCUUAGGCUAGGGUUUUCUGUUUUUCCUUUUGUUUUGGGCUAGGGUUUGCAAUGGGUUAUUGGGUUUGAAUUGGGUAUUGGGCUAAUGGGUUUGUUGGCCUGUUUAUUGGUUUUGGGCCACUGUAAUUCUGGACUGGACAUUUAAUUUUAUUUUGGUUUUUAUUUGGUUUUUUUUUCUUUGGUGUUUAUUGAUUUAAUCGGGCCCGGGCAAAUUGGGCCAUUUACAAUCCGAAUUGUGUACGAUGAGAUAAUUAAUUUUUAGUGAAGAAGUGUCCAAACUGUUAGAUAGUAGAAUAAGGAUUAUUUUAAAGAAUAAAUUGUACUUAUUG